AUUGAACGCUGGCGGAAUGCUUUACACAUGCAAGUCGAACGGCAGCACGGACUUCGGUCUGGUGGCGAGUGGCGAACGGGUGAGUAAUAUAUCGGAACGUAUCCAAUAAUGGGGGAUAACUAAUCGAAAGGUUGGCUAAUACCGCAUACGUCCUACGGGAGAAAGCUAGGGACCUUCGGGCCUGGCGUUAAUGGAGCGGCCGAUAUCGGAUUAGCUAGUUGGUGGGGUAAAGGCUCACCAAGGCGACGAUCCGUAGCUGGUCUGAGUGGACGACCAGCCACACUGGAACUGAGACACGGUCCAGACUCCUACGGGAGGCAGCAGUGGGGAAUUUUGGACAAUGGGCGCAAGCCUGAUCCAGCCAUUCCGCGUGAGUGAAGAAGGCCUUCGGGUUGUAAAGCUCUUUCGCAAGGGAAGAAAACUUAGCCACUAACAUUGGCUGAGGUUGACGGUACCUUGAUAAGAAGCACCGGCUAACUACGUGCCAGCCGCCGCAGUAAGAC
rnacentral:rRNA from 1 species